GCAGUCGUGGCCGAGUGGUUAAGGCGAUAAACUAGAAAUCCAUUGGUGUCUCCCCGCACAGGUUCGAAUCCUGUCGACUGCG
rnacentral:tRNA from 1 species